GGAGGAUUUAGCAAGAUACACGCAUGAUUGUAAUGGACGUCAACGGAGAAAGAUAAUAGCUGAAUCAGCUAAUAGCUGACCGUGAAAAUACCUCUCACAGGUUAUGACAUCUAGAGCUCGGAUGCCUUCUCACACUUUGUGACUGUGACAACCAAUCAGAUGACAGCAUGAAUGGGCUACCAACCAGAUCAGAGAAAAUGCCAGAAACGGAACCACCUCCUGAUCACCAGGAAUCGAAACUCAGAAUCCGCUCCCAAGACCACUCACCCUCGACGAAUUCAAACUGAUUGUGCCAAAUUUGUUUUAAAAUGUCAAAAAACAAUCCUGGCCCUUAAACCAGUCAAAUUGGGUCAGAAAGGGUUCUUAUUUCUUAGAGUCUCACCACCCUUUGGGGCCAAGACAGUGAUGGGUGAUCCUGAAUACUUCUCACUGUAGUCCCAAGACUGGUAGAUGUAUUCUACAGCUGAGUACACAUUAUGUAACCUUCAAAGGCACCGCUUGCAUAAGCCAUUAUCCUAUGUGUCCCAAUCCCUCGAGCAUGCAGUGAAAGUGGUAUCAUUUUAGCACUUGUGUCCUCCAUUGAUGGUCAAUCUAUGGCUUGGCAGCUUAUAUCCUGAUGUGAACAGUAUAAAAUAUUAGUUUGUUUAGAAUGGGAAUAACAUGGCAGAAAAGAUGUACAAUAUCAUCAAAUGUGUCAUAUACGUAACUACAUGCCGUCCUAGGAAUGAAAUGUCUUCCAUUGUUUUGUUCAAAACCUAUUGUUUAUUAAAGGUAUCAUUGCA